CCCCGCUGAACUUAAGCAUAUCAAUAAGCGGAGGAAAAGAAACUAACCAAGGAUUCCCUUAGUAAACUGCGAGUGAAGCGGGAAAAGCUCAAAUUUAAAAUCUGGCGGUCUCUGGCUGUCCGAGUUGUAAUCUAGAGAAGUGCUGCCCGCGCUGGACCGUGUACAAGUCUCCUGGGAUGGAGCGUCAUAGAGGGUGAGAAUCCCGUCUUUGACACGGACUACCAGGGCUUUGUGGUACGCUCUCAAAGAGUCGAGUUGUUUGGGAAUGCAGCUCAAAAUGGGUGGUAAAUUCCAUCUAAAGCUAAAUAUUGGCGAGAGACCGAUAGCGAACAAGUACCGUGAGGGAAAGAUGAAAAGAACUUUGGAAAGAGAGUUAAACAGUACGUGAAAUUGCUGAAAGGGAAACGCUUGAAGUCAGUCGCGUUGGCCGGGGAUCAGCCUCGCUUUUUGCGUGGUGUACUUUCCGGUUGAUGGGUCAGCAUCAAUUUUGACUGCUGGAAAAAGGCUUGAGGAAUGUAGCAGCUUCGGCUGUGUUAUAGCUUCUUGUCACAUACAGCGGUUGGGAUUGAGGAACUCAGCACGCCGCAAGGCCGGGUUUCGACCACGUUCGUGCUUAGGAUGCUGGCAUAAUGGCUUUAAGCGACCCGUCUUGAAACACGGACCAAGGAGUCUAACAUGCCUGCAGU
rnacentral:rRNA from 1 species